GAGUAGCAAUAAGAAGCUUGGUUAGUAUUUUAGAGUGAAAUAUUACAGGAUAUCAUGUGCAUCAUUGAGUAUAAGAACUAGAACCGCAACCGAUUCCCAAAAGCUAAAGUAAUGUUCUUGUUUGUAGAUACAAAGCCAAAGACUCAUACCGACUUCGGCUACACCAUCAAAGCUUUGUGAGGCAAUAAGAAGCUUGGUUAGUUUUUCGGAAUCAAAUAUGGCUAGAUGUCAUGUGUAUGAUUGAGUAUAAGAACUAGAACCGCAACUAAUUCCCAAAAGCUAAAUUAAUGUUUCCUUGUUAGAAGAUACAAAGCUAAAAACUCAUACGGACUUCGGCUAAGCCAUUAAUGUUUUGAGAAGCAAUAAGAAGCUUGGUUAUUUUUUUGGAGUCAAAUAUGACUAGAUGUCAUGUGUAUGAUUGAGUAUAAGAACUAGAACCGCAACCGAUUCCCAAAACCUAAAGUAGUGUUUCCUUGUUAGUAGAUACAAAGCCAAAGACUCAUACGGACUUCGGCUACACCAUCAAAACUUUGUGAGGCAAUAAGAAGCUUGGUUAGUGUUUUGGAGUCAAAUAUGACUAGAUGUCAUGUGUAUGAUUGAGUAUAAGAACUAGAACUGCAACCGUUUCCCGAAAGCUAAAGUAGUGUUUCCUUGUUAGAAGCUACAAAGCCAAAGACUCAUACGGACUUCGGCUACACCAUCAAAGUUUUGAGAAGCAAUAAUAAG
rnacentral:sRNA from 1 species